rnacentral:rRNA from 1 species
UGGGGAAUCUUGCACAAUGGGGGAAACCCUGAUGCAGCGACGCCGCGUGAGCGAUGAAGGUUUUCGAAUCGUAAAGCUCUGUCCUAUGGGAAGAUAAUGACGGUACCAUGGGAGGAAGCCCCGGCUAACUACGUGCCAGCAGCCGCGGUAAUACGCAGGGGGCGAGCGUUGUCCGGAAUUACUGGGCGUAAAGGGUUCGCAGGCGGCAUGGCAAGUCCGAUGUAAAAGGCGAAGGCUCAACCUUCGUAAGCAUCGGAAACUGUCAAGCUUGAGUGAAGGAGAGGCAAGUGGAAUUCCUAGUGUAGCGGUGGAAUGCGUAGAUAUUAGGAGGAAUACCGGUGGCGAAGGCGACUUGCUGGACUUCAACUGACGCUGAGGAACGAAAGCGUGGGUAGCAAACAGG